UACGUAGGUGGCAAGCGUUAUCCGGGUUUAUUGGGUGUAAAGGGCGUGUAGGCGGGAGCGCAAGUCAGAUGUGAAAACUCAGGGCUCAACCCUGAGCCUGCAUUUGAAACUGUGUUUCUUGAGUGCUGGAGAGGCAAUCGGAAUUCCGUGUGUAGCGGUGAAAUGCGUAGAUAUACGGAGGAACACCAGUGGCGAAGGCGGAUUGCUGGACAGUAACUGACGCUGAGGCGCGAAAGCGUGGGGAGCAAACAGG
rnacentral:rRNA from 1 species